CUCCACUGGAGCCGCAGCCAUUCUGUGUCCAAUGGAGGAUGUCACUGUCUGAUGAUACAAUCAGUGGAGUUGCAUAAGACUGGGAAACUGGCUUCAUUUGACUGCUCUACUCCACCUAAGUGAAUUGUGUGUAACUGAGAGAAGAAGCUGAUGGGAAUCUAGUGAUUUUAUCUCCACCCCAGCUGGACCGAUGGGACCUCAUGACCUACAUUCACGGCCAGCUGUCAUGCCAACAACAUCACCUACAUCCUCUGCCAGUUCCCCAGCCAGCAGAUACUGGUAUAUGGUGCUGCAAAGGUGCCUGUCUUGUCCAUUUCCUGCUAAGCAGAAACAGCUAAACUGCUCUCUGACCACAGGAUGGCAGUAUGAUGCCAGGACUAGUCUUAGAGCUUCUUUCUUUGUUCUCUU